rnacentral:rRNA from 1 species
ACGCUCGACAUCUACGGGGAGGAGCAGGUGGGGAAUAUUGCACAAUGGGGGAAACCCUGAUGCAGCGACGCCGCGUGAAGGAAGAAGUAUUUCGGUAUGUAAACUUCUAUCAGCAGGGAAGAAAAUGACGGUACCUGACUAAGAAGCCCCGGCUAACUACGUGUCAGCAGCCGCGGUAAUCUGAGCGGGCUGGCAAGGC